UGCGUCCUCCGCCAGAAGACAGUGACAUGACACACAUGGUAGCACAGAGCUCUUACUGCUCCAUUCAAUAAGUGAUUCUCCACGGACAGACUGUGACUCCCCAAAGGUUGCAGGGAGAGGCACCAGAUGGGCAAGAAGGCUACAGCUUCUGCAGGACCCGGAAGAAAUGUCCAGAUCCAGAGGGUGAGGAAUUCAUCUACCAGCCUCUCAGGUUGUGAAUGUGCAGUCUGUUUCUUCUGGAAGAGCCCCAAGUGACAGUGGACCAGAUCUGCCCCUAUGUAGGAUUGCUAACAGCCAACGUGAAUGACAGACUAGGACCUCUGCCUGAGAAAUACAUUGAGGCAAAUGGUCACCACUGGGGAGGCAAAGAACAUUGUGCCCAGCAUGGUGAAUCACCAUAAAGAGGUUCCUCCCAACAGCCAUAGGAUGGUGGCACGUACUGCUCUGCCAUCCAGGAUGAUUUGACAGAGAAUGUCUGCAAACAGGGCCUGAAAGGAGAGAAGUAUUCAAACAAGAACUGAAAUAUCAGACAACAAAGAUCAGAAAUACCUGCUUUAAUGGAAGAAUGUUAUGCUGAUUCUUCGGCUACAAAGGAUUGCUUGUGCCUUUAUGCAUAGUUUCCAGCAGCAAGAAGAGACUCACAGCACGGAUUGCAUUUCUUCUCUUCAGCAAAGGGAAGGGGUCUGCAGCUCAUCUGCAUCAGUUCAUCUAUAACACUGAGCCAGGUGACGGGGCUGGGACUUAUCCCUGCACACAGGACCUGGUUCAUCCAUCCACAAGCGUAUCAGGAGUGGGGGACUUGUUUCUGGCUGUAGAUCUAAGAAGUUUAAUGCGUUUACCGUGAACUCUUGCUGCACAUCAAGAAUUGAUUGUUGCCCACAGACAAGUGGGGUAAGACCAGUGUAGCCUUGGUCUUAAAAACUGAGGGAUAGCAGGGAGCUGAACGUAAAUAGGGAAGAUGCCCAAGGCAGGUUGGUCUUCAGCAGUUCACCAUCAGCAGAUCAGACUUUCCAGAGCCUUGAAGGCUGAGCAAACAUCACUGGUUUUGGCAUUAGCCCCAGGGGAAACAGCAUUAGGCCACUGCUGAGUGCUUUUGAAAACUUUUGCUCGUUGGGUUGGAAAUGGUAAGAGAGGAACAUCUCCACGCAUGAAGGUGUUGGAGGUAGUCACUGGAACAACAUCGCCCAAAAUUUGUGUCCACUUGAAAUGCUCCAUAUUUGUAAUCGCCGAGCAAGAAUGAGCAGACUCUUUCAAGGUCUUGGCUGUUGGCAUCUCUCUCACGAUAACUGAAGCAUGCUGAGCGAGAAGCGCACCCGAAAGAAAAGAGGGAGUUCAAAGGGGAACUGGAAGAUGGAGGCAAACAGAAAGAAAUGGAAGUGUCAAGUUUUUAAACAGAAAACAAAGAAGCCUAUAACCUAAAAACCCACAAGCCUAAAGCAGAUUUCAGAUGAAUGAAGAGGUAAGAGAUGACACUGGUAGUAAACUGCAACUGCGCGAGUUGCAUAAAUGCAGAGCGGAUUUCAGCGCCUAAUGCACGCAGCAGAGAUUUCCACCGUGAAGAUGGAGCGAGGGAGCCUGCAGCAUCUGAAGGGAAAUCAGUUGACGGCACCGCUCCGGCGUGCGGAGAUGUGAAACUGCCACAUACAGGGAAAGUGGAAGCGACUACUGAAACCUGCAAUGGCACCAACUCCCCGGAGCUUGAACUUCUGCGAUAAAAGGAAAGAGAUCAUUAACUGCGCGUGGGGAUCGCUCGUGGAGGAGGAAAAAAAACACCCUUUAACUCUGGAGUUUUUAAAAGUGCCCUUGUUUGUUUUCUUGGCAGAGGAUCGGAGCAUUUGGCACCCAUCCUUGGAAGGUGGCCCGGCUGUAAAAAUGCUGGGGUUGGCCCUUUCCAUGCUGUUGCUAAGCGGACGGCCCAAUAGCCGGCUGGGGCCCUCCAAACCCCACCCCGCGCUCCGGCCAGAUCCAGCCUGUAUUAAAAGCCUCUCUUCUCCCACUUGCUAAUAAUAAUUUAAUUUCUUUUUUAAGCCAAAGAAGUGCCAAAUUUAUAUAAGCCUGGCCAUGCCAAGAGGUGCGGGGUGUGCAGCCCGUGCCCCAAAGAGCCCUUUGCUUCGGGGCUGUGGUGCCGCUCCCGUCAGACCCGUUCCCCUUCUCUCUCCCCGCUCCCACAGCCUCAAGGUAUAGAACAGAACUAAGGGUGGGUUUUUUUUCCUCCCCCCCGCGCCCCCCCCUUUUUCUUUUUUAAUAACUUUAUCAACUCUGAACCCCAGGAUGAUUUGUGCAUUUCAUAUUCUCCCUGCACUUUUAUUCUCUGUUAGAAUUUGGAUACUUUCCAUUUCUCUUUCCCCCCCUCCCCUUUUCUCUUCUUUUUUUUUCUCUUUCCCCCUGCUUGUUUGCGGUUUUGCAUGAAAAGGCAUUGUUAACUCUUUCACGAUCCGCUUGGAAAAGGACUUUCUUGGCUUGGCUGCUGGAGGCGUUGCUGGAAGAGCAAAAUAAAAGUGCAGGGUUUCAAAACCGUAGGCUGAAAAGAAGAGCAGCAGUGGAAAAGAUUUACAUUGAAACUGCUACUGUAGGAAAAGCAGAGCUCGGAGAGCCGAGCGCUGGUAUUUGUUUCCCAGAGCUCUGCUCUCGCUGCAUUGCACGACGUCUCCCUGAGCAGAUGCUGGAAGGCAGCAACACGGGGGGACACGGGCUCAGAACUGUGAGGAUGGGCACCCGUCCCCAUUGCAGUGCACACAGCAUUGCUUUUGCAUGUAGACUGGGAGAGUGCGUGCUUUGCUGCUGCCUGAGUGCAAAAGAAGCGAAAGGCGUUCUUCCCCACUGCGCCUGGGUGAAGCAUGGGGAAACAGGAGGUCCUUGGUGUAGCAGAGAUGCACAAAAGGAGGUGGGGAAUUUUUCCCCGGGAGCUGUGAAAAGUGGAGGAUUCAUUUUCCCUUUUGUCCCUUGAGAUGAGAGGCUGGGAAGUUGGCAUCUGUCACUCCAAGCCUUUUUCCUCUUCCUCAGCACUUGCAGCUGCAGAAAGUGGGUCCAACCCGGCCGAGCUGCGUGAGAGCUGCCCAGCUGAGCUCCUUGAGCUGCUGCAAGCAGAGAUGGCUCAAACAGUUGGCAGCAGUGAGGAUCAGUUAUCUUUUUCUUUUAAAAAUAAUACGUUAUGCAAGCAGGUUUUAUUGUAGUUAUGGGCAUUUAUUCUUUCUUGCUGGAGAUGAUAAAAUAAUCUCGUUGGAACCAACAGGAACGUAAAUUUAAUAAUGUGACGCUAUGGGCGCGUUAAAUGGCAUAACAUUGCUCCUAAAAGUUCUGAAAGCACAUUAAAAAAACCCUUUGUAUAUUUGCACAUCCUGUGGUAAUUAGCACAUGAAUAUUUUCCAUUUGUAGCCUUUGAAAAAAUACUUUUCGAGUGGUUAAAAUCCAAUUUUUUUCCAGCAUCCUCCACAGCCUUUUUGUGUGAUUCCUGCUCUUAAAUAUUUGUAUGCAUGUUUGUGUGUGUGUUUGCUGUGCCUCUUAGUUCCGUUUUGUAGAACAAAUGGAGAAAACUAAAAUAUAGAUUUUUAACAACUACGAGAUUCCCUGCAGACAGGGUUUUGUACUGCAGCGGCUCAGAGGAAGAACACAGCAUGUAAUUCUACAUACAUCAGAGCCCUUUUCCAUUGCUCUUACCUCGUCAGCUGAAUGGAGAAUUAUAAAAACUAUGUCCCUGAUUCUGUAAAGAUUUGAAAAAGAGGCUUAACUUUAGGCACACAGGUAACUUCAAAGGGAAUUAAGUGAAAAUAUGAGAUGUGAGCAGUUCACGGCAGGCAGAUGCAUUAGAGAGAACGAUCUACACAGAACUUGAUCCAGAAGCUCGGGAAUUACAUUAGCUGACCUUUGUGAGCUAAACAAAAGCUGAUUGGAAAAUAUAUUCGGAAGCUAAAGUGGAAUAUUAUAACAAAAUAAACCUCAGUGCAAUGGGUAUUCUUAUUACAGAGCAUCCUUUGACUCGUCUGUAGGCAAGGGGACUGGUGCUGCAAAAGGGAGUGGGAAUAUUGCCAUUGAUUUUAGUGAGGCCAGAAUUUUGCCCAAAACAUUUGCUUUCUCCUGGUUCUGAGGUAUUUUUUUAUUAACUCUGACAUUGUUUCUUGUGUCUCUGCUGUCACAUUGCAUGGGAUGCAUGAGCAUUCUAAAAUUAACGAUGGACCUGAACUGCAGAGCACGGCUCAUUGAUCAAACCUCUGAAUCCAUCUCGACAAAGUUUGAUUAGAUGUUUGAUUCAAGGCUACUGUAUAGACACAUCUCUCUGUACAUUCACAAUUUUGUUGGCACACCUGUUGUGGCCUGGUUGGGAAAUUUUGUGCAUGUAGCAAAUCCUGGUCUAGUGGGGCAAGCUAAGCAUCGAUUUUGUUUCACCACGUCAGAGCAAGCUAUGUCAACUGCUGCACAUCACUUUGUGAUCAUGGUUAAAGCCAGUCCGACAAACAGCCACCUCAGCAAGCUGUCAUUUUAAUGUUUUAUCCAUUUUCUUUCUGUGUACGUGUGCUCCACAUUUCAGUGAAGCUUCGUCUCUCCUGCCCACCGCCAUAGGCUAAAAGUCUGCUGCAAGACUCAAGUCUCAAAUGUGUCACAUAUAAUGAAACAGGAAAAUUCCACCCAAAACAUUGAUUACUGGUGCUCCUGGUCAGGAAAAGGAGAGAACAAUGAGACAUGGGUAGUGACACCUGCACAGGGGCCAUGCAGGCGUCUCGCAGCCCUGAGAGUUCCCUCCUUCCUGCUCCCCUUCCUUCGUAAUGUUGCAAAUUCAAGACCUUCUAUAGUGUAAUUUUAAAGUACUUUGGCUUGUUUUAUCACUAGCUCUUUGUUCAUCUACCUACUCAGAACUUUUAAAACCUAAUCUCCUUCCCAUUAAAACUCAAAAAUUUCUCUUGCUUUGAAGCGUUACAUCUUGGGAAGUCAAAACCUUCAGUGUCUGCCUGAGACAUUGAUAUUUUACCAACUUUAACAACUCAGCCCAUAGAUUUUUCUCUCUGAGUGGGGAAGUUUUGCUCUUAUCCCCAUUUUACGGGAUGAAAUCUCUUAUUCAGUGAAGUAUGUGAGCAUGUGCCAGUUUCAACAGAGCUGGUGGAAUCUUUCCAGGAUAGACUAGGUUUGCCAGAAGUGCAAUUUGAAGUGGAAAACUAUUCACAAAUUCAGGUUGAAUGCAGUGAGGAGUUUUGUCAGAAAGAAAAAACAGGGGCAUUUCUUUUCUCAGGAAGGUUUAAAUGUUUCAUUUCUGUAUUUUCAAAUUAAACUUUAUAAUUCUGGACUUUUUAAAGCCAGAUAUAUUUCAAAAUUAACCUUUCUUGUUCAUGACUAUUUUGAAAGCAAUGUGAUGAAAAGAACAUUAGACUUCUCGUUAUGAGAGCAAAUUGAUACUGCUUUAAACUUCAUUUUGACAUUAUGAAAUAGAUGGGUUUUUUUUCAGCUAGAGGUAUUUGGUGUUUAUGUUUUUUUUGUUUAAAAAGGCAAACAGCAUGCAGAUUUCCAUUCUAGGUGAAUCAAAGCAAUCUCAAGUGACCCAAAAUUAAAGUAAAUUAAAUUAAGGUCUUAUGUUUGAUGCACCAAAAUAUUAGACAUUUUGGAGUCAACCCCACCUUAAUCUUUUCUUUUUUUUCCUUUUUUUUUCCAGUUUGCCAUUCAGCCACCAGACCGAAGGGAACACGUCCAUACAGCUCCAGGUCGUGCAGCAUACAGUCCUAUUGUUCUUGGUUGACUUCUGCAGAGCUUCUCGUGCUUGGAGUCAGCCUUGUAGUUUCACUGAGCCCACGCCUACACAAACCAGAGCAAGUUCAACAGGGAGAUGGGCACGGCUCCGCUCCCAGCUCUGGCUUCCAGGCUCAAGACUCUUCUUCUUCUCCAGGUUGUCUGCUGGAGAAAAAGUUGGACUUAGAUGCUGCUGUGCUACUAUGAUGCUCCAUGAGUGAGGAUCUUCUGGUCCCUGCAGCCAGUAAAACACCCCUGGGCAGCACUGGGAUGAUGCAGUGAAGGUAUUAAAACAGCAGUGGAGCAGCAGAUGCCAUACCUUGCAUAUUGCUAAAGAUGCUACCUAUGCAGAUCCUAAAAACACAAGCCCUUCUAAUGGGAAGAAGCAGAAAAACUCCCAAUGACUUCGGUUGGGUAUAGAUUUCAGGUGGCAAAUAGAGUGGUGGUAUUUUCUGAGGAAUGGUUUAUAGUAGCUUUGACUUCUCUUCUGUACUUUAUAAAAUACAGUUAUAUUCCAUAUAUAAAAGUGUCUGCUUUGCAUUAAAAGCAAGUUUUCUUUUUAAGUAAGUUGAAUAAACCUCUUUAAAUAGAUGAGAACUGUUGGUACUGGGAGCUGUGACUUAGUGUACAUUUUUUUUAACAUUUUCAAAUGCUUAUUACAAUUCCUACUUAUUUUAUAGCAAUAUCACACAAUAAACUUUUCUUUUCUGAUUAAGGGAUUGAAAGAGAACUGAAUUAUAAACAGUAUUAAUAUAAAAGGGAAUUUCUAUCCGGUGCUCUGUAGGCCUGAGUUUAUUUGACCUUAAACAAUCAGUCAGAAGAAGUCACAUCAGCUGCUGUACACAUUCCACAUUACGGAGGAAUUAAAUUAAGCAGCUUUAAUAUCUGUGAAAUGGCACAGGACUGAAAGAGAAUCGUUCCAAUUUAUGGAAUUUGUAUCUGAUUUACUAGUGCAUGCCUAGCAAUUCCAGAGUCACCAAUUGCUUUAAGACCACCUCCAAAGUGUUUUUAUCACUUACAGUAAAUGUGCUAACAUCGUGUUUUAAUUAAACAUUUAAAGUGCAUCAAACAAAUUUAUUGAUGCUGCCAGAAGAGGCAAAAUGGAAGGCAAAAAAUAAGGAAUUCUGCUAUUUGCAAAAUGCCCUGGUGUAUGCGUGAUGGCGUGACCCCGGUAAGACUGCUCUCAAACAUUCCAGCAAAUGUCUAUAAAUUAACAACUGCUUCCCCUCCCCUCCAGUCCCUCCUUUUCCAUCCCCAACCCCCAAAUCGUGCUUUGUGCAUAAAAACAUGGCAAGAGCUUGUUGAAAGUCAUUCAGCUAUACUAUCCAACGGUUGUGAACACUGCAUUUAUUUUUGCUCCUUGAAUGCAAGCCUGAUAUUGAAAUGAUAUAAAAGUCCCAGCAGCGCUUUAUAUUGAUGUUGGCAUUAAAAAUGCUUUUUCUGUUAGUGAGAGAGAAGUUUCCCCCUUAAAAAAAUAAAAGCCAAUACCAGGCCUAUCAAAACUUUAUCAUCCUGUUACCACUUGGGCACGGUAUUAAAUAUUCAGAACUGGAGCUGGUUUUCAUUAAAAAUCCUUUUUCCUUCUGCACUGGGGAUCGCAAACCCGCGACGGGUCCAGAAUUCCUAUAAUCCUUUAAAAAAGGGAAAAGUAGGCAUGGCAUUGCCAUCACCUGCAAAGACACGCUUGGAUUUUAGCCCCAAGCUCGUAGGACUGAUGCGGGGCGGCAGGGGCAGCGGUUGGCCUGGGAGCACCGCUGGCCUCACCACCUCCUCAGUCCUGCUCAUUGCUGCAGGAUGGAGGACCUUGAGGAACGUGGCCCAACGGUUCAAUGCGGAGAGGCAAUCUGCAGAGGGCUAUGUGAUGAUUUAUGCUUUAUGGCACCAAAACUACAGGCAUGGUUUUUUUUUGUGUACAUAAUAUAGCUUGGGUUUCCUUAGGAGGGAAAAGUAUUUUGUCUUCCUGAGUAACCAUUUGUUUUAGAGACUGAUGAUGGUGGGCAGGUUCUCUUUCUUACAUAUCUGUUCCUAUAUAUAUCUGUUGUUGUAUUUAGCUGUUCUCUCAUAUGCAGUGGGUCAUAAUAUGAACAGAAAGCAUAUUUCUGUACCAAUCAGAUGCACGCAAGCUGGUGCCUAGAGAUAGGUGUCUAAGCAAUUCUUAAGGUCAGUUGUCUGCUAACAAGCUGAUAUACAAAUGUAAAGUGCAUUUCAUUUAUAUUGUGUUAUAUUACAUAUCAUCUUCAAUUGAAUUUCUCCAUUUUUUCAAACCCAAUAGCUAUAAACAUCACAUGACUGGAGAGGAAACAAGCAAGGAGCCCAAUAGCUGCUGGAUCUGCCAGGAAACUGGCAAGCCGAACUCAGAAUGCUAUGGCACAACUGAAAAUGGCUAUUGCUGGGAGACUGUGACUUUUAUUCAGAAAAAAAAAAAAAAAAAAAAAAAGAGGAUGAACUAAUGUUAUCUCUGGGGAUCAGAAUCCUUAUUUUUGCAUGCCAUUCAGUCACAGACUACGUGGAAGACACUGUGGUGUCCAACACAGUCGGACAAGUAUCUUAAUGGUGGUAAUUCACUGAUGUGAGAACCACCACCAGCUAUUCAUCCUCUGUGAUCUCCUGUCCUGUACCGACUCACCCCAGUUUGCAGGAGACAAUCCUGACACGGGGUGUUUCAUGGUUACCUCGUGGUCCACGUCUAUUUUUGUAUCUGUUGUCUCCUGCUUUAUACUUAGCUCUUCUGGCAUUCUAGAAUUUGGUAUAAUGGAGCCCAAUCAACGAUGUGAGCUAGUGAGCAAGUAACACAGUGUGAAUACGAGGAAAUAAUUGUGUCUUUCAGCAGGAAGGUGGAGACAUUUUUCUAGAGAAAAGGAAUAAAGGCCUCAGAAGAAGGGUGCAGCAUUUCUCUUCACAUCGCUUUAUCUUGGAUGAUUUACCAUUGUGUUCUAAGGGAGUGAUUUUCAAAAAGAAUGAAUUUUGCAUUAAAUCCCGAGUAUGGUUGCUGCAGAAGAGAAGAUAUUUGCCUAUUCAGAUGAUGAGCUGGAUGCAUAAGUGAUCGCAUCAAUGGGUAAUGUGCACAUUCACUCAUAAGAAAAAAUUUGCAUGCCCUAUAAAGACCUAAAAGUUGAACAUCUGGCCUUUUCUGUGGCACCUCAAUUUUGCUUCAAUGUCUUCUAUUCCUUGAAAGGUUUAUUCCUAAAACCGUCAGAUCAUCACAGUCUUGAUACAACAUUCAUUGCACACUGUUGGUAAAUGAGCCGAGCUCAGCUGUGGUGGAAUGACUAAUUGCUUUGCAUUAGAGAUAGUUAUGUUCACCAGGAAGUCCUUGAGUUGUACAUGGCUGGACAUGCAUGGCAGAAUGACUGGUGCUGUUCCUCUGCCGUUCACGAGGGACUGAGGACAGACCACUUUGUUAGAAUGGAAAAGCCAUUGAUCUUCUGCAGCAUCUAACUCUUCUAUCUAGCUCUUUGAUUUUGCAAAUAUAUAGUUAUUAUCAGUGUGAAGCAUGAGAAAAGCUUUUGGCCCUGCCUGUGACAGGAGGGCUGGAACUUCAUGAUCCUUGAGGUCCCUUCUAACCCAAGCCAUUCUCUGACUGUAUGUUUCUAUGAAAAGUAUGCCCAAAGUUGUACAAAGUAAAAUAUCUUUUCUCUCAGCUUUACCCUGCUGCCUGUACAUCCAACUGAAGUCCCAUCCCUCUGGUCUGGAUUCUGGGAAAGCCCAAGGCUGUGCCUGUCUGUAACACUGACUUGUGAUAUUAUUUUUCUGUGCUAUUGCCUUGCAAGCAUGGAGUGAAAAUUGCACCUAACAAGAAAGACUGGUGGACCAGGCACUUCUCUUGUGUUUGCUGCGAGCUGGCUGCUGAUGCAGAUCGUUGGUUUGCUGUGGGCGUUCACUCCUCGGAGCGAGUCUUCCACAUCUCAUUGUCUUUAUUUUUGUAAUUUUGCCCUUGCCCCGACCACUCCAAAUCCAGUUUGGGUUUGGGCUGUGCAGCUCUGAUUAUGAGUCACAGCAAUAUUCUCACACAUCCUAGUAUAUUAGUUAGGGGACCUGUGAAACAGCAGUAGGACAGAAAGUUAUUAGUUGAAAUUCCCAAAUGAAGGCGCAAAUGCUGAGGAACUCGCUCUGCUUUUAUUUGCCCCAGCUGAGGCAGAAAUCUUGUGCAGCAUGAAUAAAUUGUUACCUACUAGCUAAGAGAAGGGAGUUAUUUGCUGGGUUACAGCCAUCAGACUUAGACUCUGGGUGCAAACUAAGGGGCUCUCCGCUUUCGGACAUCCAGCCCAGUUUUGCAAGACCGCAACUUAGGAAAUUAAAUCAUAUCAAUCUUGAAUCAGUUUUUCUCUGGAAGUCAGGGCCCAAGCACAUGGAGAUCCCUCGGAUGAGUUUUGAUUGCAGGAUGAGUGGUGGGCUUAAAAUUAAAAUUACAAAGAAGCCGGUGCUUCUGAUGGCUUCUAGCCCUGCCAGCUGCUGCCAGAUGCUAAAUAAGGAGGGCCCAGGUGCUGCUAGAAGCAAGUGAUGGGGAAGAUAACAAGGGGGGUUACCAGCCAUUCCCUCCCAUGCAGAGAAGGCACUCUACAUGCUUGUACUUCUGACCCCAAGAUCAAGUUCCAGAUAACCAUGUAUGUAAAGCUCUGUUAUCUUUCAGAGAAACCACAAGAAGCCUAAAACUGUAUUCUUUUUUUUUUUUUUUCCAUGAGGAAAUCCUGUAGCAGCACUGCUCUGGCACCGUGACUGCAGCUCUGCUACACCUCUGCUGCAACGGGUGCUGCAGGAGCGCACACCAGCAUCAGAAAUGAGAGGGCAGAACCUUGGGAGCUGUCACCUCCACCGAUCUAACAACAGUUUGCCCAGCUGAGGAGGCGGGGAGUGUUUGCUCGUCUGCCUUAGCCAUGGAAAACGAGGAGGUUAAAAAUUAAUCUUUGCAGCUGGCAACUGCUGUAGCGAGCUAACACGGUGGGGCAGAGUUUUUACCAAUACCAGGAAUGUUAUGCAGCUUUGGAGUGGCCAAACAGCAGGGCUCACGUGUGAUAGCUUGACCCAGACUGAAGGCACUGUGUGACCUGUGCAGAGCUAAGUGCGCCUUUUUGCACUGACCUGCAGUGCACCUUUUGCACUGACCUCUUUCAUUCUGGUGAUAUGAAGAUGUUGGCGUCCUGUGACAGUGCACUUCCAUCUGCAGAAUGGAAAACUGUGCUAUGAUGUGUAUCUUUCCUUUGAAACUGCAGGAUUAGAAGUACUAAUAGCAGGCUAUUUGAGUGGUGCAGGUAACUAUAAAACCUUAUGGUGUAUCGCCCCUCUUAUUAGCGGUUCUCUGUGCUUUCCUUUGGCUCAUCAGUUGCAAAAGGACGCAGCCAUGUGCUGCUGGAAUUGGCUUGAAGCUGAACCUUGAAUUUCAGGUAGAUUAAAAAAAGACAAUCGCUGCUGGAGGAGACUGCAGGAGAUGGAGUCUAAACCUGCUGGAGCCAAACUGACACCAAAAAGAGCCAGCCUGCCACUGCUGUAAGUAGUGUAGCAGUUACCUGAACAGCUAUAAAAGUGCAAAUCCAUAGAGGGGGCAGGAAAGAAUAAAGAGAGAACUGCCCUCCCCGUCUCCUGCUCCACAGGGAAUAACACGAGAUGCACUACAGCAGCAAAUGCUCCAAAGGGAGAGGAAAGAGCUGCAGCAGAAAUCUCUGUGCAAACCACAGGGAAACAAUUCUGUGUCUCCAGUUCUCUGUCAUUCCGGUGCUGUGCAAAUAAAUAAGCUCCACGAUUGCUGAAGACCUCGUGCAAAUGUGCUUGCACUCUGCACUCCUGGGACACAGGCAAUGGCUUUUUGCAUUGUGUGAGCAAAGCUGGUUGUGAGAGCUGUAAAAAAUAAAGCAGAUAUUGUCGCCUAUCACCUCGUGUCCAUUAGAUUAAGUCAACAUCAUUAGAUAAAUUCUUCCUGCAAGAUAGUUCUGCAGAAGGAUUCAAGUGCAUACCUGCCCUGCUCAAAGUGCUAAUGGUGCUCCGGUACUGGAAGUAAGUGCCUUUUGAAGGCAGUUCAGAGCCCCCGUGCAGCUGCCUGCUUUAUAGCUCGUAGCUGCAUGUCACCUUUGAAGGCUGCGGAUGGCAGUGGCAGAGCAGUGCCUCCCAGCCGGGGGAAGCAGGCAGUCGGCACAAUUCAUCCCUCGCAAUUAAGGGAGAAAAGCAGAAGCUGGGGAAAAUUCAAGCAGUGUGUUUUAGUAAAGGACUGCUCCCUUACCUCAGUGAAUUACCAGUGCCACUCACAGGGACGUGUGGGACCGAUUCAAAGCACAGAAGGUAACAAGCGCACAUGAAACCGACAUGAAUUAACCUGUAGAAGACUGAGUUUAUUGCUCUUCAUCAUUUACACACAUCCUUCUAAAGAAAACAUGAUGAAAACCUUUGUGUAAAUUACCAAGCCAAAUGCUGUUGUUCUGUUCUGGGCUCAGAGGGCAAACCUCCCCGUGCAGAAAUACCAUCUUGUGAUAAAAUGACUAAUACAUGACUAAAGCCGUUUUCCAUUGUGCAGGCGGAGCUCUGGGGAUCAAUUGUUUUCCAUGGUGGAUCCCUCAGACAGUGAAUUCCUCUGGUGGUUGGUAUGAUAUUCAUGGCCAGGGCUCUUAGUCACCUUCCAGGGAGCUGAAAUAGGAUGCCACUCCGGUUGCUGUUAUUAAUCUCGACUGCAGGUGUGAAAAUUAAUUUCAUGGGUAUUUUUAUCAUUUCCUUUUUGUUAAGGAUUAGCGUUUCCCAAUGACCCGGACUCCGGAUGGAAGCAAAUGCAAAGUAGUUUGCCCAGCCCCGCCACAGUGGUGAGCUAAUGCUGGGGAGCAGGAGAGGAAUGGGGCAUGAAACUUUCCAUUCCCACUGGUGUGGACAGUGAAUGCCACUGAACGAUGUCAGAUGUCAUCACAACAUGCACUUCUCUGCACCGAGACUCUAUAAAGCAAUCCUGGAAAAUGCAGGUUGUUCUCAGUUCUGUGGGAGAAUAACUCAUUUGCUAAUAGUGGGAGAAAAAAAGGCAAAGUCAAAUGUAUCAAACCAAAUCAAAUGUAGCUGUUUAGAAAGCUACAGCUCCUAUUUGCUGGCACCCAGGCUGUUUUCACAAGGAUUUUCUGACAGAUGCUGCUAUAUCUCCAGAGUCAAGAAGACAGCUCCAGCCACUGGGCUUCCAACAUGGAGACCAGAGCUGGGGGCCAGGCACAGGAAUGGGAAUGGGAAUGGGAAUGGGAAUGGGAAUGGGAAUGUGAGAGCAGAGCUCACCUGGUGGAGAGGGCCGGUGGUGGGAGCAGCUGGAGCCAUGGCAGGGAGAGGAAUACACUGUCCCCAGCUCUGCCCAGGAUUAAGCCCUGGCUGCUGGCAGUGAUGCUGGCUCCAGAACUGUCUCGUUUUCACUAACACCUCCUCCUGCCAAAACCCAGUGAGUAAUGCUCAGGAGAUAAGCAGGUUAGGCCAGAUUCAGCAUGAUAAUUGAAGGUUGGAGGUAAUGUGAGAUCCUUAUGUGCUCCUGUUGGCACAGCCCCUUUCUGUCAUAAGGCCAUGCAAGCCAAGAGGCUUGUGCUGCUGAAGACCCCAUCGCUUACCGCACGCAUUUCUAUGCUUUACUCACAUGGGAUAAGCCCAGUGCAUGGCACUCAGCCCACCACGUCAACUAAUAACAAGUCUGUGCCACCUCGGGCUUUAAGACAUUAAAUCACAGCUUUGCUUAAAAGUUACUGAAGUCAAUCACUCUUAAUAAUGGCCGUCUCACCCUUCACAGUCACACGUCAAAACAUCACCUCCAUAUCGUGCCCCCCUCGCCACUCACUGGUAGUCAGCUUUGAGGAAGAGAGAGCACAUAAAAUUCACAUUAUUUCAUGCUGCCACUGCUCCUUGCUGCUGAAACAACUCAAUGCAGAGCAGAAGGGAGAGAAGCAGUGAGGAUUUUUUGGAGCUAAAGUAGAUAGAAAUGCCGUGUGUGUAUCACAGGGCUUUGCUGGGACAGCUCGGUGAUGUGAUAUUGAUAUAAUUUUUUUCUUCUCCUCCUUUAAUUAAUUGUACUUUUCUGCAGUGUUCAACCUGUGCACCAGAUUUUACCAGAUUACCUCUCUUUGCUCACUUCAGCUAAUUUGAGAACAAACACGUUAUAUAACCCAACAUCAUCAUCCCAGUUAUAAAUGACGAAUUCCACCAUAAAGCCUGAUAAAAAUCUUUAUUGCAAUUUCACUUUUUAUAUCUUUUAGACAAAUAGGUUUUUGGCAUCAGGGAUGUCUGCAUUGAUUUUUACAUCCAGGCCGAGCCAUUCAUGGAAAUGAGUAAAAUGGGACAUGCAUCACAAGGUGAGCACAGCACAAACCUGGUGGCGCCAACCUCCAGCCAGAGAGAGAAGUUCCUUCUGGAUCAUACGAAGUUAUUUAGGAUAGUUUGAGUGUUUCAGAAACACGAUAAGCAAGCAGUGGAAACGAUGGAUUCGGCAACACUGAUGCAAAACUGAAAAGAGACCAGAGAGGGAAACCAAGUUGCAUUACCAGAGAAAAUUCUACAUAAAAUAUACCAGAGCGGCUGGGGAACAGGAAGCCAAGAUGUUCAGCUGCAAGUGGAGUCCAAUUUGAUGCUCAGCAUGAGUUUAAAAGGAAGAUUUUCUCAGCUUUAAAGUAAAAGAGCAGUGGAUGGGGCAGCAAGCUGCAGUCACGGGAAUGGAUUGCCCAGGCACAGGAAAAGUGAGAGAACUGAAAGCAGCUCGUUUUGCCGUGAUACACUUAGGGAUGUGCUCAUUGCACCCAGACAAAAUACACGUAUAUGUCAGCACCCGGUUUGUGGAGCUCCACCAGAGGUCAGUGGGAAUGUGGUGAAGUCAGUGGGGAGCAGACCUCAUUCCCUGCUGGCUGACGGCUCUCAGUUUUUGCAGCCACGGCCCUUUGACACAAACAAAUUGCUGCCAGCCAGGACCACUGAAAUCAAUGGAAGUUUUGUUGUUGGCUUCCAUGGGAUGAAGGAUUCAAUCCGGCAGUCGAUAGGGUUCGGGUGUCUUUUGUCUAAGUAGGGUCGUGUUAAUACAGGAGGAUGGGCCUAAAUCAUAUCCAUUAUUGGGAUUUGCAGCUGAGCAUAAAAACAGGAUUAAGGGGAAGAGAGAAACAAUCCCAACAGUGAGCAGGGAGCCCCGAGCGAGCCCCGGCCAUCAGCAAGCAUGGGGCAACGAGGGGGGAAACCCACAGAGGAGGUUCCCUUCUUUCUGCUCCUUCUGCAGGAAACUUUGAGUCGCCGGCUCGUUAUUAACAAUUAGCAAAGCAUCGGCAGAAGCAAUUAUUGUCACACUCAUACAGAUAUUAAUCGAUGGCGCUUGUUUGCCGCUGCUUCUGUUCCCUCUUCUCCGACACCACAGCACCACCAGCAAAUUGGGAUUCGUGGUACAUAUGUUGGUGCUCCACUUAAUAAAAAAGACACCUAUAUUUUCAGAUAAACUUUGUUAGUAAUUCAUGAGGUAAGUGACUAUUUAUGCUAAUCGGGGAGAAAUACAUUCUCGAGCGGAGCGCGUUCCAUAAAUUUGAAUGCAAAAUGUUCAAUUAUGAAGUAAAUACAGGUAAUGCAAAUAGUAAAUUACCUCCAAUAAAAAUAUAUAAAGAACGUGUCUUCAAAGAGAGCGCGGCUUUUAUUUGCAUCUGCAAGUUGCUUAAAGAGAAAAGAAUUAAUAAACGCCAAAUUGCUGCCGCGAUGAUUGAGCUCCGAAUGCCCGACCCGCGCUGGCUGCCCGCAAUCACAGCGCUGUUCUGUACCCCCCAUAGAAGGCAGGACUGUUUCCUCAGCAAUUUUAUCCCCGCCAGAUUAUCUCGUCUGAUUCUAUUAAUUCUCUCCCAUAAAUCUGCUAACAGCGAUCUGUGAUUUACUCACCCUGUUAACUGAUCUGAGGACUGUUAAAAGGAUUUAUCUGGCGCUGCACCUAGGAGCGGGUUGUGCCUUAUCACUGUGCUCCGAAGAAGUCUUUCGGAAAGCAAUUUGCCCGGUUCCAUAGUCAAAUUCAGCGGGCACUCUUUAGUUCUGCACCAUAAAAUCAGACACCGGGCAAACAAAGGGAGCGGUAACUGUUCUUAAUGUGUUGUUCUUGAUCCGCACCCAAAGCAGAACGCAUCGUGGUCUGAGCUCCUAACCUGGAGCGGGGCAGGAGGUGCGGGGAUGUGGGCUGUGCGCUGCCUGGGUCGGUGCUGGGAGAGAGAGAGGGGCUGAGACGUGGCCUGGUGGCAAAACCCGAGCCUGAAUGGCUCUAAUUGAAAUGAAAGUGUGCGAUUGUUAGGGGAGAAACGCUGUUAAUAGGGGACUGUAAAUGUUUAGACAGCCGUCGUGAAUAGCCAAAUAAUAAAGGAAAAUAGCACUACAGUGAGAAUUACAGAGGGGAGGGAGGAGAGCGUUGUUGCUUCUGAAGGUUAUCCAAAAAUUGCAAAUAAUCCUUUCUUUCUGCUACGCCGUGCCGUUUUGGAGCGGCAGCUCUGCAAUAAUCACAGCAGAACAAUUUUGUACAAUAACUCCAGCGCUGCUCUGGAGGUCACAGCUCCGCUUGCACUCACUCACAUCGGUGUGAAGGAAGAGGCCCCCCUCAGCUCACCCAAAUUUGUGCUCUUUGUCUCAAGUUUACUCAGAAAGCUACUGGUUUGCAAACUGGAUGCAAACAAACAGUUCGCUGGGACUGGAGCUAUGUUUCCACAGACAUCCAUCAAACAUGCAAGUGGAACACUGCGUGUGUGCGUUCCAAAAAGCAAUAACCUUCACUUUUUAUCCCUCUCCUAGGUGAGCACAUUAAGUGACAUACAGUGCCUCCUUCACCUCACUCUGGAAAAAACAAGAGUUGGGGAAUGGGGCCGUCCUGGGGGGUUUAUGCUGUCAGUUGGGAACUUUUGCUGGUUCCAGUGGUGUGCAGGAAUAGGAAAGCCAACCCGAGUUGCGUUCAGUUUGUCACUAAUUGCAGUCUCUAAGAUAAACCCGGCAGAUGUCCGGGUGUCUUUGGGGCUCUGCAGAACUACACUCCUGUUGUUUGUGCUGUCAGAGCAUGCUUUAGCUUUGCAGAAUCGCCUCUGCGAUCCCAUCUAGGUGUCGUUAUCCUGCUCGCCGCGCAGCGUGCCCUCCCUGCCUUUUGGCUGCCGGGAGCAGCACAGCUGCGCGGCUUUGUGCCGAUAAUGGCACGGUCGGGAGAUGUUAUCUAUUCGUGAGCCCACUCUCCCCGUACUACUUCCCAAGCAGAGAAUUCUUUGGCUGUUGCAAACGAUGCUUUUCACAGUUGGUGAAAAAUUACCCAGCAACUCACCCGCACCUACAAAGUCUUAUAAAUAGCAAACUGCGAGGGGAAGGGGGAAAAGGAGCAUCUGAAGUACAACGUUCAAGACGCCGGUUUAAUAUAUGACCAAGUGUCAGAAGUCAGGUUUCUGAGAAUUACUUUCCAGAUAAACAACUUCACAGCACCGCACUUCAUCUUACUUACUGGAGACACCCCAUUUAUCAUGGAAUUACAAGGAACUUUAAUUCUAUCGAUAUUCCCAUAAAAUCCAGCCUGGCAGCUCAGGAGGGGCACUGCGGGAGCACCGGGACCGCCGCAGCUCAAC